AUUGAAAACUAAAAACACGGUUCCUUGUAAUAAAAUAGCAUUUGUUGAACUACUGUAGAGUAAACCGCUGAAUGUGUAAAGAUGCUAGACACUAUAGUUGUGAUUUUACAGUAAAAACACGAUUUAUUAUGAUAACAGGGGAGCUCUAGUAAACACACAUAACUUAAUUCUCCGAAGUGGAUUUACAUAUUCUAAACCACAUCUUAAAGGUGCUUAUUAAAUGUUCAUUUAACAUCUGACAGGAACAUCUUCAUUAAGUACUAUGGCUUAUGAGUGAUGGAUUAUGUAUGAGUGAUGUAUGUGAAUUCACUGUUGUCAACACUGCUUACAUUACAUGAAUGAAAAUAACGUAAAUAAAUAAAUCUACAUAAAAUAAACAUAAGUUUAAUCUGUUUUAUUUGUCCAUUAGUACUGUUGGUAAAUUAAGGAACAUUUGUAUUGGAUAAAAAGAGAGUUAACACAUCAUCAACAUGUAAAUGUAGAUUUAAGCACAUAAAUCUCAGAGGAAACUUGAAUCUUGUCUGGAUGUUACAGGGACAGAUGAUCACACGUGUGUUUAUCCGGUGAUAAAGGAAUGCUGCCAUCAAAGGCUUUGAGUGAGGAUACUACAGAAAUGAAUAAGUCUAUUUAAAUCUAAAGUCUAGUUUAUUUUAAUUAUUGUAAUUUAAACAGAGUUAUUACAGCACUUUUCUGAAUCUUGAUUUCUGUGCAUUUGCUGCAGAGCUCUGUGGUGAAGCAGGACCUACAAGACAAGGUGACUGCAGCAAAAAAGAAAAACCUGAAACAAAAAUAUAAAGAUGUGAAAUGUCCUCAGACUGGUGUGAGCACUGAGGAUGGAGAGCCACAGCAGGUCCUGGAAAUGGUGUAGAGCCAUGGACGAGACGCUCCAUCACUCCUCAAGUCAAGUCAAGUCACCUUUAUUUAUAUUGUGCUUUUUACAAUGCAGAUUGUGUCAAAGCAGCUUUACAGUGAUAAAUGGUAUGUAAUUUUGUCAAUGUAGGCAGAUGCAAAGCACUGUUGAAUAUCAAAUGUCAAGUGACUUGAUCAAGAACACACUGGAGGUGAUGCUGCAGAGAUUGAACCAGCAACCUUCUGCUGACCAGCUCAGUGGUUUAGCCCACCACACCACAAAAGUAAUGAAGUCAUGCUGAUGGAGAGCACAUGAAUGUUUGCAGCAGACACAGCAGCAGCCAGAUUGUCCUGCACAUCUUCUCCCACUCUUGGUUCAAGGUUGGGAGAAGGUUGUCAUCCUCUGGAUCAACGAUGUCCCCACUGAGAAGAGCAGCACUGAGGGACAUGAUGGAUGAAGGUGUUCAUCAGCUGCUUCAUCAGAAUAAAGAUGCAGAAUUGGCACAGCUGUGUUGAGAUGGCAGUAGGAUUGUAAAUACAUGAUUGUUAGAUCAAUAAAUUUGAAUAAAGCUUUGUUUCAUGUGUUGUUGACUUGUAUAUGCAUUUAUUUAUUGUCAUUAUUACUUUUAUUAAUUCUUUUACUUUUUUUAUUAAUUAUGCUAUUAUUAUCAGUAAAUUUAUAUAUUUUAUUAAGCAAUGAAUUAUUGCAUGAAUUGACUGUAAAUUGAGAUGUAUUCACAUCAGCUGUAUUUGUCUAAUGUGUAUUCAUGCAUAGCUAUGUCAUAUGACAAAACAUUACGUUUUGCUUGUUUUACUAUAGAAGUAAAAUGAAAAGUAAUAUAAUGAAGUAUUGGUCAGCAUUUAUCAAUAUCAUUGUGUGUAAGUGUUGGGGUGGGCUAGCAAAGCAGUGAAUUCUGGGGUAAUCUUAAUUUUAAGUAGUUAUACUUACAUUUUUUUGAGUAUAAAAUCAGUCUUCUCCAAAGGCGAGAUCUUCGAGCAGCUGCUGAUAUCUUCUUUGGCUUCAGACAUUGAUAACACUGAAGAAAACCGAACUAGGUAACAAUAAACAAUAAUAAUGACAAAAAACAAACGUGUUUGUAAACAUCAUAGUUUGAGAUUAUAUACACGGACAUAAAGCAUGAUGAUAAGGUUAAAUAUUUUGAAUACAUCAUAAUGCAUAAAAGUAUUUAUUAUUUAUAAGCCUGAGGGAUGAAACUAGAGCUAAUUCAAGAAAAAAAAAGAAAACAAAUGAAAUGUAUGCCACUUUUGCUUGUGGGUGAACAUUUUUGCAUAUAAAAUAAAGAAAUUAACAACAUAUUCAACAAAAAAUAAACUCACAUUAUAAAAAUAUAAGAAC